ensembl:lncRNA
GUUCCCUUGGGUUCUAUAACUAGCCACCAGAGACAGGAGAUCAGCGCUGCUCCUUCAUUCCAACUUAUACAAAUUGUUGAUAUCCAUGAUUGUGACAUAUAAGGAGAAUCUUCAAGGAUUAGACAUUGUCUUGCUGUCUUUGAAAGGUUCAUUUGCUUGAUCAUCAUCCCAGACACUGAUGUGAUGUUGACAGACUUGCAGUUCUCCAGGUCAUCUUUCUUGAACUUCUAGAAGACGAGACUGAAAUAUGCUUUCUUCUAGUCACUAAAAACUUCCUUCAAUCACCAUGACCUUUUCAAGAUAACUGAGAGUAGUUCUGCAAUGGCAAAGGCCAGCCCCCUCAGAGCCUUUUGUUGGUGCAUCUCAUCAGUUACCAUGCAGUUGUAUUUUUCUGGUCUGCUGAUGCAUUCCAUACUAUGACUAUUCUCCACUGUGGAUCUUUCUUGCUUUAGGCUUUAUCAUAAUCUCAGGGGCUUGUGAUUACUGAAAGACACUAUCACAAGGAAAAAAAUGUGAUAAAUAAGGCACUGAGUACAUGAUAUUUUAUAUUUCUAUUCAAAUGUUGGUAGUUUGAAUGACAAAUGGAAGCUACAGUGCCAACCAUCUGCAAACUAACACCCACAGAAAGUUUGCUUAUAUGUGCCUCCUGUGCAUGACAUAGAUGUUAUGAUGAGGAUUGGUGUUCUCAAAGUUUUUUGGUGGAUGAGUUCUGACAUAAUUUUUCAGAUUAUGGAUAUCUUCUCUUUGUUUACACUUUGUGAGUUUGACAGUAAUUAUGAUUUAUACAUGUUAAAUUAUUAAAUAUCAACGAGUUUUCUUCAAUUAAUAUAUUAAUUGAUAAUCAGUGGUUAAACUGUAUAUUUGUCUCCUGAUAGUCAGUUCUCUUACAAUAGAUAGAAUUAAUGGGGCCAGAUGUAAGGGAAGCAUCUCUUGCCCACUGUCACAGUCAGAACAAAGUAAAAGACAGACAAUAGUGGAUCUAGAUACUGUGGUUUAUUAAUAAAUAAAUAAAUAAUGAUUUUAUUCUUCUUGAUUUUCACACACUCGGUUGUGCUUCUCAUACACACCCUUCCACACACCGCAUGAUGUUUGUUAGGUCUUGAAUUUCCAGCAGGGAGACUGCUGCCAGUCCAGAGAGGCUGGGGAGAAAGAUAUCUGUGGUGUGCAGCUGCUCAUAGGUACAUUUCAUCAUCCCAUCUUAUUUGUAUGUAUAUUAAUAUUCAGAAUUGAGUAAGAGCCUUAAGUUUCUUCUGUAGAACAAUAAAAAAAGUAGCAAUUUGAUACAAGUAGGAAAGGUAAAAUACAUAUUGUAUUGAAGAUUUGGAAUGCAAAGUACAUUGCAAUUUCAGAAACAGUCUGGGCAGAAGAACAGUGCCAACAGCAAAAUGAAAGAAACAUUCAGGGAAACAAGAAAGAUCUGAAAUUGGAAUGAAAGAACAUAUUUGAAAAAUACAUGCAAAUAUUAACUUUAUAGUGUCAAAGAAAGAAAAUAAGAAAAAAAUAAUGUAUUUAGUCUUACACAAGAGUUUUUGAAGUUUCUUUUAUGGUAGUAAAUGGUGGACCUUAACUUCUCUCCAAAAUCUCAUAGGCUAUAUGGAAGCAUGGUCAGGUAAAUUCAGUUAGAGUUGAAGUGAAAAAGUAUAACUGAACUGAAUUUGAUUCCUACAAAUAGUCUAUGAAAACACCUUUUUUAAAAAAAGAUAUGAUAUCAGAAAAACAUCAAAGCAUUUUCAAUCUUAGUCCGUUAUGUGGCACUUAUUUCAUUAGUCAGUAACUAUAAUAAUGUUUCAUUAAUUAUUGGUUAAUGAUAAUUCUGGGACUUCUUAGUGGCUAGUUCACUGAGGAGUUGAGUCAACAAAACUCCCAAAAGGUAAAUAUAUUAUAGAAAUGCAGAGUUAUCAAGUUUUACAAUCUGUUAUGUGAACAAUCAUACAUGUAUAACAUGUAUGUGGAUAAAUAUUUUUUGUGAUUGGUAUGAGAACCAUUUUUAAGACUGUACAACAGUUAUGAAUUCUGAUUACUGUUAUCAAUAAUUUAAACCCAUCCUAUGAAGGUGUAAAUUUAAUUUCACAUAUUUAUUCCAUUAUGUGAUUAAAUACAACAAGCAGAUUAAACCGGCAACUUAGGUCAAAUGCAAUUAAGAAAUUGGUUCAGUCCAUCCUUCUCACACUUUUCAGACAUCUUGGAAAAGAUACAAAGCUGUGGAUGCUGUCUCAACAGCCAGUCAUGCGUUCAGAUAAGAGUUCUGUCUGCAGCAAAAGGCAAAUUGUCUCAGUGAAAUCUGUCUGUCAUUAAGUAAAGACUGAUAGACAGAUGUGGAAGCAACCUAAACAGAAGAAAGUUCUCAGAUCUGCUCUUCCAUCUUUAAAUCUCCUGCCACCUUGGCUAGAAACAGCUAUCCAAGAUGAAAUGUAAACAGGGACAAAGACAUUAACAUCAGCAAGAAGUUACUCAAAGUUCUACACUACAGAAAACUGGAUUUGAACUCAAAUUAACUCUUACAUUUAGGAGCUUAUUUUACCUGUUGGGGAUAUCUUGAGGACAUUCAUCAAAAUAAUUCUCUUAACUAUUUUUAAUAUUUAUUCCCUUGAUUUAAAUGUUAAUGCAAAGAUAACAAACAAGAAUUUUAUGAAGCAUUUUCAAGAUAUGUUUGCGUUUUAAGAUGAAGACUUACAAGAAACUAUGUCUUUGUAACUGAUUCAGUAUAUUCAUCUUUGCUCAUAUUUUUGAUCAGUUGAAUGAGUUUUCCCAUUAUUUAUCUUAUCUACUUCUGAUACUAUGUAUUUUGAUUAGUGUACUAACAGAUCAUCUCAUAAGCUUUCCUCUUUUUGUGAACCAUUGAUGAAAAUAACAUAUACUGCAUUUUUACAUUGGAAACAGAAUAAGAAAAGCAUAAAACUAACUCCACAAAGAUAUUUCAGUUCUUUAAUACCCAGCAUCAUGGUAUUCACUACAAAGUACAGUACUGAGAUAAAACUGAGAAAAAUUAAGUAUUCUAAAUAAAUAAGUAAAAAAAGAAAGAAAUAAACUGACAGACAAAUAAAUAAAUAAGCAGAAAAGCACCAGGACAGAAAUGCAAAAGAAAGACAGAAAGUUGUAACCAGAGCUGCCUGGUCAUUGUCAUCAUCCACAAAAUUUCGGUCAUGUGAGUCACAUGCCUAAAUCCUAGUACAGGAAAAACAAAAUCAACCCACAGGAGAGGAACUGUUUUGUAUUUUUAAUCAGUACUUUAUGAGAGCUACUGCAAUGUUAGUCUUGCCAAGGAAAAGAGAGUAUCAAACAGAAAAAAAUUAGGUGUACAAGAGGAAAGGCCAUCAAGGCACAAGACGUAGGUUUAUUAUUCUAUAACAAUUGCCAUAAUUUAUGGAAGAGUAGUCAACUUUGCUUUCUGAAGUGUAACACACUGUAUGCAGUGGCAAGUAUCCACCUAUUCCACCUAUAUCAUUGUAUUUUUUAUUCAGAUGUAAGCAAAAACAGUCUCUUUUAAAGUAUUUAUUACGGUUCCAGAAUUAAAGAUUCAGUGUCAGUCUUACUCAGACAGCACCUCCCCUGGGACAACAUCUGUUCUGAGAUACAAGCACUUGUGGAAAUUGUACUGAAAAUUUAAAUAUUAUAAUGAAGCAACAUCAAUACAAAAUACAUUUAUUUAUUUAUUUAUUUCCCUCAAAAGUGCAUCAGGUUUUAUUUUAAAAUCACUUAACGUAAAGUUGUAUGAAAUAUUCUGAGAGUUUUUAUUUAGUAAUAUCUUUAAGUAUAUGAGCUUAUUCAAUCAGCAUUCUUCCUUUAUUUAUGGUAUUAAAAGUAAACUAGUGAGUUAUACUGAACGAUUUAAUUUAUGAUACUUAUUUACAGAGACAGAAAUUAUAUCCAUAGGUAGUAAAAUUAUUAUUCAUUACUAUGUUAAUUUAUAGAACUGGAAUCCUUUUUAAUAAAAUGGAAAACAUGAUGAUGACCUGGAAUGUUUAGUUUUGUCCAGUCUCUUAAAGGAGACUAAUUCAUCCCAGAUGUCCUAAGAUAGAAUGAAGUCUUUUUUAGAAAUGCUUUAGCCUUUACACUGAAAACAAUGGGAAAUGUGGGAAUAGGACCACAGAGGAAGCCAUCUUUAAUUAAAUAUUUAAAAUAUUUACAAUCUUUUGAUUGAUAACAAAUCUGUCUUCAAUUAAGUAUUUGCAAUCUUUUGAUUGAUAAAUGUAGAGUAGAUCAAUUCUACCUUUCAUGUCUGAGUUUCCACUAUAGAAAUAACUAAUUAAGCUGGUAUAAUUUUCUUUUUCAUUAGUGCCCAUAUGGAUAUACACAUCUGAAUAAUAUUGAAGAUAAGCACUGACAAAAUAUUUCCACUGUUUUUAAAUACUUGUCUUUUUUACUCAAUAACUUCUAAGCAAGUAUGAUAGCUGGCAACUAUUACUUUUUGCUGAUGAAGAAACUUUAAAGAGGAAGUGGAGAGUAAUGACAAUAGUGAUGUAAUGAAAGAAGUCUGUUCUAGUCUGUCAGCAGCAUGACAUUACAUGCAUUUUACUUUUCUUUUUUUUUUUUUUUUUUUUUUUUUUUGAGACAGCCCAGGGGCCAGAACAUAAUUUAAUUUGAUUGAGAAAAGAUUUCUUUCUCUUUUCUCCUUCUUAUCAUUCACAGCCAUCACUAUACACACAGCCAUCACCCUGAGGACAGUUACCC